rnacentral:tRNA from 1 species
AUUUAAGUAGUUUAAAUAAAAAUAUUGAUUUGUGGUGUCAAGGAUGUAGUUUAUACCUUAGAUU